rnacentral:rRNA from 1 species
UCUGGCUCAGGACGAACGCUGGCGGCGUGCCUAAUACAUGCAAGUCGAACGCUUCUUUUUCCACCGGAGCUUGCUCCACCGGAAAAAGAGGAGUGGCGAACGGGUGAGUAACACGUGGGUAACCUGCCCAUCAGAAGGGGAUAACACUUGGAAACAGGUGCUAAUACCGUAUAACAAUCNAAACCGCAUGGUUUUGAUUUGAAAGGCGCUUUCGGGUGUCGCUGAUGGAUGGACCCGCGGUGCAUUAGCUAGUUGGUGAGGUAACGGCUCACCAAGGCCACGAUGCAUAGCCGACCUGAGAGGGUGAUCGGCCAUAUUGGGACUGAGACACGGCCCAAACUCCUACGGGAGGCAGCAGUAGGGAAUCUUCGGCAAUGGACGAAAGUCUGACCGAGCAACGCCGCGUGAGUGAAGAAGGUUUUCGGAUCGUAAAACUCUGUUGUUAGAGAAGAACAAGGAUGAGAGUAACUGUUCAUCCCUUGACGGUAUCUAACCAGAAAGCCACGGCUAACUACGUGCCAGCAGCC